rnacentral:rRNA from 1 species
UACGGAGGGGGCUAGCGUUAUUCGGAAUUACUGGGCGUAAAGCGCACGUAGGCGGAUAAGAAAGUCAGAGGUGAAAUCCCAGGGCUCAACCUUGGAACUGCCUUUGAAACUCCUUGUCUUGAGGUCGUGAGAGGUGAGUGGAAUUCCGAGUGUAGAGGUGAAAUUCGUAGAUAUUCGGAGGAACACCAGUGGCGAAGGCGGCUCACUGGCACGAUACUGACGCUGAGGUGCGAAAGCGUGGGGAGCAAACGGG